UCAACUUCAGGGCUUCAUCCCAUUUGUUGGC
rnacentral:piRNA from 1 species